AGUGAACGCUGGCGGCAGGCCUAACACAUGCAAGUCGAGCGAAGCCUUCGGGCUUAGCGGCGGACGGGUGAGUAACGCGUGGGAACGUGCCCUUUGCUACGGAAUAGCCCCGGGAAACUGGGAGUAAUACCGUAUGUGCCCUUCGGGGGAAAGAUUUAUCGGCAAAGGAUCGGCCCGCGUUGGAUUAGGUAGUUGGUGGGGUAAUGGCCUACCAAGCCGACGAACCAUAGCUGGUUUGAGAGGAUGAUCAGCCACACUGGGACUGGGACACGGCCCAGACUCCUACGGGAGGCAGCAGUGGGGAAUCUUAGACAAUGGGGGAAACCCUGAUCUAGCCAUGCCGCGUGAUCGAUGAAGGCCUUAGGGUUGUAAAGAUCUUUCAGUGGGGAAGAUAAUGACUGUACCCACAGAAGAAGCCCCGGCUAACUCCGUGCCAGCCGCCGCCGUAAUAC
rnacentral:rRNA from 1 species